AGUGGGGUAGAGUAAAUAGGUUAACUCGUUAGACUCAUGAUCUAAAGUUGUAGGUUCAAGUCCUAUUCCCGCAA
rnacentral:tRNA from 1 species